GGGUUAGUAGGUUGGUCAUGCCUCCGGUACGUACUGGUAUCAUUGGUUUCUCCUUCCCGAUGAGCCGUAAUGCCAUUAAUUUGGUGUUGCGGGGAAUUUGGACUGUUACUUUGAAAAAAUUAGAGUGUUUAAAGCAAGCUAACGCUUGAAUACAUUAGCAUGGAAUAAUGAAAUAGGACGUUCGAUCCUAUUUUGUUGGUUUCUAGGAUUGACGUA
rnacentral:rRNA from 1 species